UGAUGUGUUGAGAAUUGUUUGAAAGGCUUGUUAAGUCAUUGUUGAUGUUGUAUCCUGAUUGUCUUGUUGUGAAUUAUGCAAUGUUAUGAAAAUGGUCAUCUCCUCAUUAUUUGUGUGAACAUGUCAUUUGCAUUGUUCUGAGACAUGGUUCUGACAAGUGUUAUGUGCAUUGAGAAAGAAUAAGAAAAUAAAGAGGAUGUACCAUUUCGAGGGACGUAUCGCGCGCCGCGAUGG
rnacentral:lncRNA from 1 species